GGGGGGGAAUUGAGAUUGUGUCCAAGACCAAAUUUAAAGCCACAGCUCAGGCUGUUCUGUACUCGAGUUGUGUGGCUGGUUUUUUGUUGUUGUUUUUGUAAAGAUUUGUUUCGUGAAUUUUGUUGGUUUUCACUGUUUAUUGGCAGGAAGGGAGCCUUCAAUUUAUUUUAAGUGCACGGCUAAGUUGUGGUUGCAUUUUCUUAGAUAGACUCUUUCUGACGAGGAAACUCCCCAAGGCUGGGCCACGGUGGGCACAUCUUUCCACUUUCUCAUAAUCGCUUGCUAUUUGUUAUUAUCAGUUCCAAGAUGUACCAAGGGGGAUAUGAUGCCUAUACCUUGGAGUUCAUGGCUGCCCAGAGUUUUCUUCCAUCUUCAUCAACCUAUGUUUUCCAAGUCACUUCUCUGGUUGAUGUGCUACCUGCUUAUCGGCAACUGGUACCAUCAUAGCUUUAAGUUCAUUGGAUUGUCACAUGGUACUUGAAUUGCUCUUUUGCCUGUGGGGAGUUAUCUGAAGUCAAAAUCAUAACUGAAGAGACAUCCAAAUAUGACGGUAUUUCACCAUCUUUUUCUUUUCUCGUUCUCUGUUAAUGGAGAACCAAAUUAGCUUCUCUAAUAAUUGUUUUGGUAAAUUUUGCGUUAAUGUAUAAUAGCUGGAUUGCCAUCUUUCAUUACGGCUUUUGGUUAAAAAAUUGAUCAUGCAUUGAUUGCAAUAUUGUUCAGAGAAAAGGGAAACUUUUGUUCCCCCUCC